GCGUCGUGACCAAACUGGUUAAGGCACCCGGCUGAUAACCGAGAGAUGCGGUGGUGCAACUCCACCCGACGACACCA
rnacentral:tRNA from 1 species